GGCCGCGGGAAUUCGAUUAGAGUUUGAUCAUGGCUCAGAUUGAACGCUGGCGGAAUGCUUUACACAUGCAAGUCGAACGGCAGCACGGGAGCUUGCUCCUGGUGGCGAGUGGCGAACGGGUGAGUAAUGCGUCGGAACGUACCGAGUAAUGGGGGAUAACGCAGCGAAAGCUGUGCUAAUACCGCAUACGCCCUGAGGGGGAAAGUGGGGGAUCGCAAGACCUCACGUUAUUCGAGCGGCCGACGUCUGAUUAGCUAGUUGGUGGGGUAAUGGCCUACCAAGGCGACGAUCAGUAGCGGGUCUGAGAGGAUGAUCCGCCACACUGGAACUGAGACACGGUCCAGACUCCUACGGGAGGCAGCAGUGGGGAAUUUUGGACAAUGGGGGCAACCCUGAUCCAGCCAUUCCGCGUGAGUGAAGAAGGCCUUCGGGUUGUAAAGCUCUUUCAGCUGGAACGAAACGGUCGUGGCUAAUAUCCACGGCUAAUGACGGUACCAGCAGAAGAAGCACCGGCUAACUACGUGCCAGCAGCCGCGGUAAUACGUAGGGUGCGAGCGUUAAUCGGAAUUACUGGCGUAAAGCGUGCGCAGGCGGAUUGUUAAGCAAGAUGUGAAAUCCCCGGGCUUAACCUGGGAAUGGCAUUUUGAACUGCAGUCUAGAGUGUGUCAGAGGGGGGUGAUUCCACGUGUAGCAGUGAUGCGUAGAGAUGUGAGAACACCAGCGAGGCAGCCCCUGGGAAACCUGAGCUCAUGUACGAAGCGUGGUAGCAAACGAUUAUAACCUGAGUCCGCCCUAACGAGCACUGUGUGGGGAGUGAAUCCUUAUAGACUAGUGAGUGACGCUGGACGCGAGAUUAAUGAUGACGGCCAACGUGG
rnacentral:rRNA from 1 species